rnacentral:rRNA from 1 species
AUGUUGGAAAAACCCCUCGCUGGGUGUAACUAUAAGUGGAUAUGGAAAACAAAAAUUCCUCUUAAAAUCAAAAUCGUUUUAUGGCAGUUAUCCCAAGACGCAGUGCUCACGAGACAAGUGAUGAGGGAGAGAAAGUGGCCAGGGAAUCCUUGUUGUUCUUUCUGCAGGGAGGUAGAAACUUCUAACCACCUUUUCUUCACUUGCCCCGUCGCUAGGGUGGUUUGGAGAUCUAUUGGGGUGGUGCUAGGCACUGAUAUGUGCCCUAACAACUAUUGGCAGUAUUUCACCUAG